UACGUAGGGUGCGAGCGUUGUCCGGAAUUAUUGGGCGUAAAGAGCUCGUAGGCGGUCUGUCGCGUCGGUCGUGAAAACUCGGGGCUUAACCCCGAGCCUGCUUCUGAUACGGGCAGACUAGAGGUAUGCAGGGGAGAACGGAAUUCCUGGUGUAGCGGUGAAAUGCGCAGAUAUCAGGAGGAACACCGGUGGCGAAGGCGGUUCUCUGGGCAUUACCUGACGCUGAGGAGCGAAAGCAUGGGGAGCGAACAGG
rnacentral:rRNA from 1 species